UUACAAAACUAUCGUACAAAUCUUUAACUCUUGGCCUUACUGUUUCUGUUUCUUCUUCCUCCAUUUGUGUGGCUGAGAAUGGUUGAUAUGAGCUUACCGUCUUUUCUGUACUGUUUAAUUUUCUUACUAAACCACGUGGUCUUUUAAAAGAUUGUUCUGGUCGUUUAGUAGUUUUUGGAGCAGUAAUUACUCCAGAUUUUAUCAAUUUCUUGGCAACUUCCCUGGCAUCCCUAGCUUCUGUUGGCCGCUUUGGAGCUUGUGGUAUUCGUUCAGUUUCUUGCUUUGGUGCUUUCAAAUCUUCUUGUUAUAUUUCGCCUGCAACAUCAAUUCUUCUUCUGUUAAAUUAGAAGGAAAGUGUCGUUUCAUCCAAUACGAUUUCUUGUGGUGGACCAAUGUGAAAUUUGAUAGGAUACCAACGUCGGACAAAAACAAUGACUUGAUUGUUAUUGGUAACUGGAUCUUUAUCAGGUAACUCUUGUACAAUCAUUUCAAAUUGAGAAUAAUAUUGGAAAUCUUUAAACUUUUGAUGAUCUAAAAGUACUUUUGAAGGUAACACAAAACACUUUUCCCUUAAUCGACAUCUUUCAUAUGGUAUUUCUAUAUUAUAUCUUCUUUUCAUUUCUGCAAGAAUCUCUUUUUUCGCCUGCCCAACAGUCAU
rnacentral:misc_RNA from 1 species